CAGUCGCCGCGGGAAUACGAAGGGUGCAAGCGUUACUCGGAAUUACUGGGCGUAAAGCGUGCGUAGGCGGUUGGUUAAGUCUGCUGUGAAAGCCCUGGGCUCAACCUGGGAACUGCAGUGGAAACUGGCCAGCUAGAGUGUGUCAGAGGAUGGUGGAAUUCCCGGUGUAGCGGUGAAAUGCGUAGAGAUCGGGAGGAACACCAGUGGCGAAGGCGGCCAUCUGGGACAACACUGACGCUGAGGCACGAAAGCGUGGGGAGCAAACAGGAUUAGAUACCCGCGUAGUCCCUGUCUCUUAUAC
rnacentral:rRNA from 1 species